rnacentral:tRNA from 1 species
UAGCUCAAUGGCAAAAGCACCUGCCUUGCAAGCAGGCGGUCCUGGGUUCGAUCCCCGG